AAAAGGCUGUGGGAGUUGAGAUCAAAAAUGGGCUAAAAGCCUCCAGAGGUAAACACUGCUUAGCCUUGGACAGGAGUAUAGCCACAGAAGUGUGUGGCAAGCUGCAGUAACUAAAGGCCCAGAAAUAGAGGAUUGAAAAGGGGAGUCCCAAGGAACAUACUGAGCGGAUUGGGGAGAAGGAGGAGCCAGGCUUUCAUAUGAUUGGAUGACAUGUAAAGCAUUAAGUUGUGUCAAUUGUAAUAAUUUGAGACAUCAGCAAGAUUUUUCAUGCCUCUCUCCUGGAGAUUAUCUCUGGAUCAGAUGCUAGAUCUUGACUUCUGUUAUCCUGGAGUGAGUCAAAAGAAAUUUGAAAUGGAGAGGAGACCAAAAUAACAGGGCCUUCAAUUCAGCCCAGAGACUAGGGGCAGAAACAUGCAACGGAGCUCUGAAAUGGACUGUGACUGGCUUAGACCUGAAGUGACAAAGACCCAGUCAGUGUGCCCAGGUGGGGCCUGGAGAAGGAGGACGGGGAAGGAACGGGCCAGCCUGCACCUUUAUCAUUUUCCUUGAUCCUGUGCCCCAGCUGAGGAACUCCCCAGCCUGUGCCGAGAAUACGUUCCUCGAGGACCACUUUUCAAACAGCCCUGUAGAGGGCGCGGUUUCCUCGUCCCAGAGGCUUCCAGGGUUCAGGCAGGCUCUGAAGGCUUUUCCAUCCGUCUGAUAAUCUCUUCGAAGCACUGAGGAAGCACCGUGGGGAGUAUCAAGAAGCACAGGAGGGCCUCCUCGGACUGUGAGAAACUCCGGGCAUAGUUCUAGGGAAGAAGACAAAGACAUGGACCUGUUGCAGUGGUUCCAAGACAUAUUCAAGUUCACGGCCAAGGCAGCCUGCAGAUUCUGGAUGCUUAGGAAUUCAGAAGAGGUCUGGACUGGUCCCAACAGUCUCUAAGGAAGGUGUCAAAGAGGUGAUGGCAUUGGGAGCAGACCUUAAUGGAUGAGAUGAUUUGGGGACUAACGCCAAGACAAGCAGAUGCAGAAGAUGGCAAGGUCUUGUUAAAGCCUCUUGUUUUUAAAUUAAAAUUAAAAUUCAACAUAUUUGAAUUGUUUACUUUUAAAUGGCUAAUUUUUAUUAUGUGACUUUUGCCUCAAUUAAAAACUACAUGAGAUAGCUA
rnacentral:lncRNA from 1 species